rnacentral:rRNA from 1 species
GACGAACGCUGGCGGCGUGCUUAAUACAUGCAAGUCGACUGAAGCAGUGGUAACAAUAUCGCUGUGGCGGUGGCGCACGGGGGAGUAACAAGUAGGUAAUCUGCCUUCUGGUCUGGCAUAACUCCGGGAAACCGGGGCUAAUAGCAGCUGAUGCAGCAGCUCGACAUCGGGACCGUUGGUAAAACUAUGGCGCCUGGAGAUGAGCCAGGGUCUGCUUAGCUCAUUGGCGGGGUAACGGCCCACCAAGGCAACGAUCAGUAGCUGGUCAGAGAGGAUGAUCAGCCACACUGGAACUGAGACACGGUCCAGACUCCUACGGGGGGCAGCAGUAAGGAAUAUUGCUCAAUGGGAGAAAUCAUGAAGCAGCAACGCCGCGUGAGGGACGAAGGGCUUUUGCUUGUAAACCUCUGUAGUGAGAGAAAAAAAUCCCAAUCUUUGGGACAUGAUGGUAUCUCAAAAGUAAGCCCCGGCUAACUACGUG